AGUGAACGCUGGCGGUAGGCCUAACACAUGCAAGUCGAACGGCAGCACAGUAAGAGCUUGCUCUUACGGGUGGCGAGUGGCGGACGGGUGAGGAAUACAUCGGAAUCUACUUUUUCGUGGGGGAUAACGUAGGGAAACUUACGCUAAUACCGCAUACGACCUACGGGUGAAAGCAGGGGAUCUUCGGACCUUGCGCGAUUGAAUGAGCCGAUGUCGGAUUAGUUAGUUGGCGGGGUAAAGGCCCACCAAGGCGACGAUCCGUAGCUGGUCUGAGAGGAUGAUCGGCCACACGGGAACUGGGACACGGUCCAGACUCCUACGGGAGGCAGCAGUGGGGAAUAUUGGACAAUGGGCGCAAGCCUGAUCCAGCCAUACCGCGUGGGUGAAGAAGGCCUUCGGGUUGUAAAGCCCUUUUGUUGGGAAAGAAAAGCAGCAGGUUAAUACCCCGCUGUUCUGACGGUACCCAAAGAAUAAGCACCGGCUAACUUCGUG
rnacentral:rRNA from 1 species